rnacentral:rRNA from 1 species
CACGUAGGGGCCAAGCGUUGGUCCGGAUUUAUUGGGCGUAAAGAGCUACGUAGGCGGUUCGACAAGUCGGGUGUGAAAACUCCGGGCUACACCGGAGACCGCCACCCGAUACUGUCGUGACUGGAGUCCGGUAGGGGAGUGGGGAAUUCCUGGUGUAGCGGUGAAAUGCGCAGAUAUCAGGAGGAACACCGGUGGCGAAGGCGCCACUCUGGGCCGGUACUGACGCUGAGGAGCGAAAGCGUGGGUAGCAAACAGG